GCAGGCUAACGGCCCACAUGUGGUUCCGGAGCUGCAAGUUGAGAACCCUGGUCUUGAAAUGGUUUUGAAUUCUUUUCCAGUGCGGUGACUCCGGCAGCAGAGCAGAAGAUCCCAGAACUCCCAGGUUCUGAAGCUCCGUCCAGCACAUCUUCAUCGCCUCCACCUGCCGGCAUCAUCAUCACCUCUGCUGCCCCGCCCACUCCAGCCACAGACCGCACCGGACCGGCUUUACCUGACCAAGAGGACCCGGAGCUGCCCAACCUGGUUCCCGAGGGCCCCGAGGUCCACCUGGUGCAGUUCAGCGUCAGCCUGCUGGACCCGGGCUACCGGCAGCUGCUGGGCGAGCCGGACUCACCGGAGUACCUGGACCUGGCCACGCACCUGCAGGACCAGAUGCGGCUCGUCUUCGACCGACUGCCGGGCUUCAAGGCCGUCAGCGUUCUGGGGAUCCGUGAGCUGCUGGAACCUGGCAGGGUUGAAGGAAUCUCGGUCCACUACUCUGUGGUCUUUGAGAACAACAUCCAUCAUGCAACCUCAGAGACGACCAGAGAGCCAGAGGCCUCUGCUGACUCUGGACUCAAAGAUAUGUUGGUCAAGGCUUUACAGGAGAAAGCUUCUCUGCCAGUCGACCUGGACUCCCUGAACUUUCAACCAGAAGUGAUCACCCUGCCAACACCAACAUCAGCUGCAACUGAAGAGAUGGAUGAGCCCAGUGAACCUGAUUCCCACAAUGAGUUUAAAGUCUUCACCCCUGAGCCAGAGGUGAAUAAACUUCUUCCUCCUCUCACCCCAAAGGAGAAGGAAAACGAUCUUGUGACCCUGCUGGACUCCACCGCUGUCUCACAUGGCGAGAUGAUCACGGUGACUGAUGGGAUGACGCUGAUCAGUGAUGAUCCCCCGGCUCUAGAGGACAUUAUUGAUGAUUCAGAAGAAAUUUACAUGAUUGAACCAGAGCUGUUGAGCCAGGAACAACAGGAAAAGGAGUUGCUCAUCAUCACACAUGAGAUUAAAACCAUUCAUCAGGAUGAAACGGGGGAACUUGUGCGCGUCUAUAUCCCAACCCCGACGCUGCCUCUUCAGGGGGAGGCGGACGAUCCAUUUAUCACUUCGUCUCCUAACCUGAUAUCAGAGGAAGACCUCAGACCUGUUGAAAAGGAGGGAGAAAGUCCUGCGUUUAAACCAACAGCUCAGAUUUUAUUCACUGCAGCCAUUGGCAAUAAGGAGCUGUAUGAAAUCACAACUCCAAGUUUCAAACCUGCAGACCUCACAGACCAGCCACCCACAGAGCCAGCAUUGAUCCCUAAAGACGAAGAAGACAUCAACGCUCUUCCAGAUGAAGAAAAUGUAGAUUUAGGUUUUUCAAAACCUGAACCAAGUGACGUUCUGGACCAAGAAUCACAGGAUGUUAGAAGUUUGCAAACUGAAGCAGAACUGCUAGAGCCAGAGGAAUAUCCAGUCAUUCUGGAGGUUUUAAGGCCAAACCUUGAGAAAGUAGAAGCCUCAGAACCAGGUGAAGUUGGAGAUGAAAUGUCAGAGUCAGGUGAAGCAACAUUUGAAGUCUCAGUGCCAGAUAAAGAAGAAAAGCCACCAGAGUCUAUCACGGAAGUAGUUGAAGUUUCAAAUCUGGACACUACAGAGACAGAAGCACCUGAAGUUUCAGAGCCACACCAAGAAGUUGAACAAGUUUUACCAAUGGACAAAGAAGUAGUGGAUGUUUCAAUGCAAGAAAAAGAUUCAACUAAAGCAUCGGAGACAAAGAAACAGUCGGUUGUCAAAGGUCAGGACGAAGUUACAGAGCCAGAGUCAGAAAUUGUGGUUCAUGUUACAGAGAAGGACCUCGAAACAUUUAAAUCAGUUGAACCAGAAGAACCGCUUCCAGAGACGGACUCUGAAGAUACCAAACCUGAGGUUUUCACAGAGCAAGGUGUAGAAGACAAUGUCAACAUUUUGCAACCAGAAGAAGGAAUAGUUGAACUUACAGAACUAAAAGAAGAGCAGAGAGAAAAAGUCAUUGAGGUGUCACUUUCAAUUCCUCAACUAGAGGAAAAUCCUUUGGAGGUCUCAGAAAAAGAGGAAGAGGUGGUGCUUGUUGGCGCCAAAGAUGAAAACGUUUUAGAGAGACCAGGUCAUGAAGUUUUGAAAGAAACAUUACCUGAAGUCCCUGAAGAAAAGGGUCCUGAUGUAACAGAGGAAAGGGUUCCCAUAUUUAUGGAGGACAGAGUUGCUGAAGACACCAAAGAAACCGUUCCCAAGGUCAAUGAGGAAGAGGGAAUUCCCAAACAUAUAGAGGAUAAGGUUCCUGAACACUCAGAAGAAAGUGUUACUAAAGUUAUACAGGACGUGGUCCCUGAAGAUACUGAGGAAACCGUGUUCAAAGUUACAGAACAAAAGGCUCCCAAGGUUACGGAGGAAAACGUCAACAUGGGUGGAAUUGCUGAUAGAGUUUCUGAACCAGAGGAAGCAGUUCCUGAGUUGGACUUAGAAGAAGUUAGAGAGGAAUCAGGCCAUGUGGUGAAGCUUCAAACAGAAGAUGUCACUGAAAUUCCUAAUGCAGAUUUUGAGGAUGAAAAGGUUGUAGUUGCCUCCCUUGAUGAGAGGCCGGUGGACAUUGCACAGCCAGAACCUUCUUCACAACCAGAAGAGAAGACUGAAGCCACAGAUGAAUCAAAAAGUCCAGGACUGGAGACAGUUUCAGAACCAGACAAAGACCAAUUGGAUGUUUUUCCAGACUUACCUAAAGGUCCAGAACCAGAAGAGGAGGUCAUAGAGCCAGAACCAAAGAGAGAUUCUGCAGAACCAGCUAUUGAGUCAAUCAAAAUCCUCCAGACUUUGGAAAGCAUGGAAGAACUUCACUACAGAGAGGAUAGUGUUCAGGUAGUGGGGGAAGAUCUACUGGACGGUUCUGAUGAACUCAACCCAUCAGUGGAAGAUAAUCUACCCAUCAUACCAGGACUCCUCCAUCCACCUGAGGAGAAAGCACCUAACCGCAUAUACCCAAUCACAGAGGACGUUGACUCCAAGGAGGACGUUGACUCCAAGGAGAACGUUGAUAGAACCAACAUAGAGGUGGAGAGAGAAGCCAGUGCCUUCAGAACACCAGGACCUAUCCAGACUGAUCUACCCACUGAAGCAGCAACAUCUGUCUCAGCUACAACAGCUGCAAAGCCAGAGGUUCAGUCAGAGGAUACUGGAGUGACCGAUAACUCUUCAUCAAAGACACAAGAAGAAGAAGAAGAAAUGUUUGUAACUCAUAGCCCAGUCUCAGAAGCCCUCCCUGCACCUCCAUUUGCUGUCGACCUGGUUCAAGUACCGACACCUGGCCCGACUGAGGACUCUGGGCCCUUUGAGUUAACAGAGGACAGAACUGAACCAGAACCACCUGUUGUUCCCACGGGGGAAACGGCAAACCCUGAAAGCCUCACCGCCUCUCCAGGUGGGGAGGAGUUGUCUGAGGAAGUGGACCAGAGCAACACUCCCAAUAAGGAGUUAGUGGACCCUGGCAGUGAUCUGACCUCUGCAGCAGAAGAAGAUGCCACUCCGCUAAGAUACUUGACCACGCCCACCAUGACCACUGCCAGCAACAGGCAGGAGCUGGUGGUGUUCUUCAGCCUGCGCCUCACCAACAUGGACUUCUCUGAAGACCUUUUCAACAACACCUCAGCAGAGUACAGAGCCCUGGAGAACACUCUUCUAGACGUGCUGCUGCCGUACCUGCAGGCCAACCUGACGGGUUUCAGGAACCUGGAGAUCCUGAACUUCAGGAAGGGCAGCGUGGUCGUCAACAGCAAGAUGCGCUUCUCCCGCUCCGUGCCCUACAACGUCACCGAGGCCGUCCGCUGCCUGCUGGAGCGCUUCUGCUCCGCCGCCAGGAGGCUGCAGAUCGACCGCAGCUCGCUGGACGUGGAACCAGCUGAUCGGGCCGAUCCGUGCCGGUUCCUGGCCUGCGGAGCCUCGUCCCGCUGCGUGGUCGACCGCCGGACCCAGGAGGCCCGGUGCCUCUGCGAACCGGGCUUCCUGGCCCAACAGAACCGGUCCUGUCGGAGCGUCUGCGAGCUGCAGCCCGAGUUCUGCCCAGACAGGGAUUGUCACGUGGUUCCAGGCCGAGGAGCCGAAUGCAGACCUAGAGGCGGAUCUCAGCGGUCCGGCCAGACCAGAUAGGAAGACGUGUUGGAUCAGACGGGACCAGAGAACGUGAAUAGGUACUGGUUCUGACUCGCCAGAGCUUCAGAGGAUCAGCAUCGACCCGACUGAAUCGGGUCAGAACUGACGAGCCCGUCUGAUGUAUUGGGACAUCGGGUCUGCAGCUGGUCAACUUCAACUGAAGGUCCAUCACCGCUGGGUUUAGACCCGGACUUCGACUAGGCCAUUGCAGAACCUCGACUGUCUUGUUUUCAGCCGUUCUGACCCGGUUCUGCUGCGUUUGGGAUCCGAGUUCUGCUGGCGACCCAGAUGAAGACCAGACAGUGUUCUGUCCCGAUACGUGGACCUUCAAAGUUUGAGAACAACUUCCUCUUCCACAUCCCGCUUCCUGGAGAACCGACCUUUAACUCCCUUGGACACGACCCCGGACAGUCAUCACCCCGGAGACGACCCCGGACUCAGCCCAUCACCCUCUAGGAACCCGAUAGUAUUCAGGGUUACAUCCAAAUACUGUGUUACCCUGUAACAGAGUAUUUAUGUUGAUAAAGAGGUCAAAGGUCAGGCUGCUGAUGCACCAAGGCACUGGACCCCAAGAUCUACAGGAAGCUCAGCGUGAAUAUUACCUGGGAGGUUAAAGAUCACUGUACUUUUUAGUAGGAUCUGAUAAACGCAACAAGGGCUGCGUCCUGUGAUGACCAGAUGGUGGCGCUGCAGUCGCCGUCUAGGGAACAAACUGGACUGAUUCCACCCAGUCAAUGACUUCCUGUUUGAGCUGCUGGUAGAAGCUAGCAGCAACGAUUUGAGUUAUUUAGCCUGUCAGACAAAAUAAACAAAGGUUCACUUUUCACUGUUAUUCAUUAAUUCAUAAAUACCAGAUUCAAGCUAAAUAUUUAGCUCAAAAGACAAAUAGUUGGUCUGAGUUGAGCUAGCAAAAUAUUUAAACUGAAGCUAAAUAUUUAGAUUGAAGCUAGCUGCUAGUAUGCUAAUUCACUCACCAACAGCAGGAAGUGGACUACCAAAAUAAAAGUUGGGUCUCCAGAA